rnacentral:rRNA from 1 species
ACGGAAGGCAGCAGUGGGGAAUAUUGCACAAUGGGGGAAACCCUGAUGCAGCGACGCCGCGUGAGUGAAGAAGUAUUUCGGUAUGUAAAGCUCUAUCAGCAGGGAAGAAAAUGACGGUACCUGACUAAGAAGCCCCGGCUAACUACGUGCCAGCAGCCGCGGUAAUACGUAGGGGGCAAGCGUUAUCCGGAUUUACUGGGUGUAAAGGGUGCGUAGGCGGCAUGGCAAGUCAGAUGUGAAAGACCGGGGCUCAACUCCGGGGCUGCAUUUGAAACUGCCAGGCUGGAGUACAGGAGAGGCAGGCGGAAUUCCUAGUGUAGCGGUGAAAUGCGUAGAUAUUAGGAGGAACACCAGUGGCGAAGGCGGCCUGCUGGACUGUUACUGACGCUGAGGCACGAAAGCGUGGGGAGCAAACAGGAUUAGAUACCCUGGUA